rnacentral:rRNA from 1 species
GACGAACCGUGCGAACGUUGUUCGGAUUCACUGGGCGUAAAGGGCGCGUAGGCGGGUCGCCAAGUCGGUGGUGAAAUCUUUCGGCCCAACCGGAAAAUCGCCUCCGAUACUGGCGGCCUCGAGGGGGGUAGGGGCAUGCGGAACUUCGGGUGGAGCGGUGAAAUGCGUAGAUAUCCGAAGGAACGCCGGUGGCGAAAGCGGCGUGCUGGACCCCUUCUGACGCUGAGGCGCGAAAGCCAGGGGAGCGAACGGG